CUACUGCACAGGCCUUGCCAUGUUAACUUAUCUUCGCAUUCCGCAAUCUUCUAUUAAAAUGUUUUUGUAAAGCAGGUCAAAAACCAUGAGAAUGUCACUAAAUGUAAGUAAGUGUUUUUUGUUUUGUUUAAGGAAUCAAAUCUAAAAUGUUAAUUCCAAAUGUAAAUCAUUUACAAAGUUCGCAGAGGAUGCUAAUAAGGAGAUUAGAUUACACAAUGUCAAAAUAAAGCUGAUAGAAUAGGUUGGGCGAUAUAUCAUCCUUACUAUUAUCUUGCUAGGUGUCCACAGAUUUGAAUAAUUCUCUCCGAUGCAGCUUCUGCUACAAAAUAUUACACCGUAUUUUAAUAACUGGUUAAGUCAGAGAGGUUACAUCCUAAACCCUUUGAAGAUGAAUUAGGAUUACAUUACAGCAAUAAUCCACAUAAAUCAGUUCUGGAGGAUGAUUCACAAAAGAAACUAAUCUUUCUUUACAAUAUAAACUUUCAUUUACUGAAGUUAAAAGUCAGUCCAUGCCACAAAUUUUUCAAUCCUUUGUGAUAUGUGAGGCAGUAAAUAUUUUUCUAACAAAAUCAAUGUAAAACACUAUUAGUAAUCAGACAAAGCCAUUGCUUAGGAAGAUAUAAUAAUGUCUUAAAGCAUUGAUCAGAACCCCAGGGUAAUAUUGAUGCCUCUUCUGACAGCUAGCUCAGUGGUGUUGCAACAACAGUAUUCGUUCUGUCAGAAAGUAAACAGAAACUUCUUAUCAUAUCAUCUGUUUUUUCUUCACUCCAGUGGGUUGUUGUGGCUGCUUCACUUUUGUUUUCUGUAACAAAGCUCUGGCAGGCUGGAGGCAGAAGCAAAGCACACCCAUCCACCUGAUGUGCCAACUUCAGAAAUUAAACAAAGAAAUCAGACUCUUCUCUUCGAAUACUUUGUUCCCAUCACUCACUUCUGUCCACAGAUAGAGUUUCACACCCUGAUAAAGGCUUGGCAAAUCAACCUGUGCCAACUGUGCAAGUGUUUCAGGAGAUUUGCAAGAUGCCAGACAUCUCCACAUGCACUAUACUGAAGUUACUAACAUGGGAAAUACAUGCCAUACCACUUAAAUGAGCUUUCUUCACUGUGGAUUUUGCAUAUACCUCAGUCUGUUUUUGCAUUAUAAAUCAAUCAUCUCCCUCCUCCCCUCCUUUUUUGCAGAUCCUUCCAGCAGCAGACUUUAUCCUGCUCUCACAAACAGGAGUGGGGAGGCGGGUUCAGGCCCUUGAGUGAGGUCUGUUCCUGUCAGUGCAUGCAGUACAAAGCUUGCAGCCACCUCUCUAUAUAGU